UGUGGGAGGAGCGUGCCACGCCCAGGGGGGACUCCCCCACGCUGCUCCGGCCCCGUGCUGGGGGCGGGCACGCCCUGCGAAGUCACGGUUUUGGCAAAAACUCGGCAAGUCGGCAAGUAAACUGUUUGCUAAGGGAUCCUUCCUCUGCGAGGUGGGGAGUGAAGGUGCGACGUGGAAGCCCCUCGGGCCUGCUGCGCACGUGGGGACGGCCCCCGAGGGUCCCCUCGUGGAGCCGCAGGGUCAGGGAGCACGAGAGGCCAGUGGUGGGCUAUGCAACCUGACCCCUGACCUCUCUCUCUUUCGCGGGGGUCUUGACCAUGGGCCCUGGGGUGCAGGGACCCAGGUGCUCUCAGGAUGACAGGAAGUCAGGGUUGCCCAGCUUCCUGC